AAUGGUGUGAGUGUUGUAAAGUGGUGUGUUCUGCAGUGCAGCAGAGAGACAGACAGUGAGUCAGACAGACAGGUAUGAGGUGAGGGUGGGGUCUGUUCCGCUCGCGCUGCAGCGUUCAUUCACGCCUCUGGAGCUAGUCCUGUGUUUCUGGAGCUAGUCCUGUGUUUCUGGAACUAGUCCUGUGUUUCUGGAGCUUGUCGUGUGUUUCUGGAACUAGUUGAAGGUGUAAGUGCGGCUCAUGAGGAUUCUCCUGGAGUUCUCCAUCAGGUCCGGCAGCGAAGAUGAGCGCAGAAGACUUGGACAUUCCUCAGGAUCUGCUGGAGAGUGUUCAGGAUGCAGUCGGGCAGCAGAUGAAGCUGUGUGUCCUUAAGAAAGUGAACCUGGAGGUUAAAGGUGACAAACUGGAGAACAGAAUCCUGGCUCUCGCUCCUCAUCGAGUGUUUCUUCUGAGUGCACGAGUCCCUGCUAAAGUG